GAUGUGGAAAACCAUCCAUUUGCCUUGCACAGUACAGCUACGGUUAACCACUGCUAAUUGCAACAGCUACCAGAGCAAUCAUUCGGAGCCAGACCGCUUCAGUCUUGAAGAACAAAGAGCCUGCGAGCCCUCCGUGUGAGAUUUGAAAGCUUCCCUAAUCAGAAAGGAGGGGAGAAUCAUUUAGAAACCAGCCAAAUAAAAAUCAGGUGCCAAUUAAAAACA
rnacentral:lncRNA from 1 species